AAAAUUGAAGGUCUAAUCUGCCCAAUGAUAUUUGAAUGGCCGCGGUAACUUGACCGUGCAAAGGUAGCAUAAUUAUUAGUCUUUUAAUUGAAGGCUUGAAUGAAAGAUUGGAUGAGAAAUUAACUUUAUUAAUAUAAAUUAUUUAAUUUAUUAUUUAAGUAAAAAUUCUUAAAUAUAUAAGUGGGACGAAAAGACCCUAUAGAGUUUUAUUUUUAUUUUUAUUUUAAAAUUUAAGAAUUAAUAUUUUUACAAUAUAAAUAAAUUUUUUAUUGGGGUGAUAUUAAAAAUUAUUAAACUUUUAAUUAAUAUUUCAUUAAUAUAUGUAUUAUUGAUCCAAAAAAUUUUUGAUUAUAAGAUUAAAUUACCUUAGGGAUAACAGCGUUAUUAAUUUGAAGAGUUCAAAUCGAUAAAUUAGUUUGCGACCUCGAUGUUGGAUUAAGAAUAAAUUUUGAAGUAGUGUUUAAAAUUAUAGGUCUGUUCGACCUUUAAAUUCUUACG
rnacentral:rRNA from 1 species